rnacentral:rRNA from 1 species
CACUCCUGCGGGAGGCAGCAGUGGGGAAUUUUGGACAAUGGGCGAAAGCCUGAUCCAGCAAUGCCGCGUGAGUGAAGAAGGCCUUCGGGUUGUAAAGCUCUUUUGUCAGGGAAGAAACGGUGAAAGCUAAUAUCUUUUGCUAAUGACGGUACCUGAAGAAUAAGCACCGGCUAACUACGUGCCAGCAGCCGCGGUAAUACGUAGGGUGCAAGCGUUAAUCGGAAUUACUGGGCGUAAAGCGUGCGCAGGCGGUUUUGUAAGUCUGAUGUGAAAUCCCCGGGCUCAACCUGGGAAUUGCAUUGGAGACUGCAAGGCUAGAAUCUGGCAGAGGGGGGUAGAAUUCCACGUGUAGCAGUGAAAUGCGUAGAUAUGUGGAGGAACACCGAUGGCGAAGGCAGCCCCCUGGGUCAAGAUUGACGCUCAUGCACGAAAGCGUGGGGAGCAAACAGGAUUAGAAACCCCAGUAGUCCCAUG